GCCGGUGCCGAUCGUGGGCCGGCAGCGCCCAGGCGGCGUCGAGGCGGUUCAGCCGAGCGCCGGGUGCCUUCUUGUAUCCAUGUUGCUCGAAUGAGGAUGUGGCCACGAGAA
rnacentral:sRNA from 1 species